UUCAAGUUGAUACAUGUUUGACCAUGUUGUGACUAACAUGACUAAUAAAUACAGGUGUGUUUUCUUCAAUGAACUUUGACCUAGAUGAAUUGGAUAUCAAAAAUGUUGCAAUCGUUGCUGUCAUAUUUCCGAUUCAAAAGUGAGGAAAUAGAUUGUUGCAAAUCUUUUUGUGGAAUCUGUGAUCUCCGCAAUCUUUCAAAACCAUCAGUGGUCUGGUGUUCAGAAUGUGAUGAACAUCUAUGUGAAUCUUGUAUGGAUCAUCACACAUUUUCUUAAGCAACAAAAGACCACAACACAUUAACAAAUGUGGAAUACAACAGUUUACCUCCCUUUGUUAAAACUAUCAAACCAUUUUGUAAGGAACAUGAGGAUAAAUACAACAUGUACUGUCACCGUCAUGAAAGUCCUUGUUGUAGGGAAUGUUUACUGAAUGGUCAUCGUAACUGUACGGACAUUCGUCCAUUGGAACAUAUGGUUCAAAAUGUCAAAUCGUCCAGUGCAUUUGAAGACCUCGAAAAAAUGUUGAAAGAAAUGAUGAAGAAUAUAAAGUAUAUUCAGGAAAACAGACUAAGGUACUUGUUUUCAAUACAGAGGUCAAAAGUAGGGAUUGAAAAUGAAAUUCAGCUAAUUCGAUUUCAAAUAAACAACCAUCUAGAUCAGAAUAAGCUUAUAAUGCAGCUAAAUACAGAGGAAAACAAGGUUGUGAAUCAGAUAGAAACUUUAACAGGGUCACUGAAGGAAAAAGAAAAAGAAAUUAAUAAACUUUUGACAAAUUUUCAUCAUAUAAAAACAUGUGCAUCAGAACUUCAAGCAUUCUUAAGUAUGAAACAAAUAGAAAAGACAGUUGUUCCUUAUAAACAAUAUAUCCAGAGUUUGUUCGGAGAUAAAACCCUUGAACAAACUAACAUAUCCUGCAGUAUUGACAACAAAAUUAAAAACAUAAGCACAAGAAUACAAAAUUUUGGGAAAAUUAACAUUAGUAGACAGGAAUGUGACAUUUCACUGGCGAACAUAAGGGAAAGACAAGCACAAAUUAUGGUUGAUGUGUCUUUUGACAACUUAACUCUAAAGUUAAUACAGAAAAUAAAUAAUUAUGGUAGCCAGGUGACUGGAUGUAUACGUACUAUAUUAAUUACCUAGUGGAAAGAAGCUGUUUUGUAAUUAUUCACCAGCUCGUCUCAUAUUGGUCAAUAAGGAUGGAUCAAUUGAACUUACAAUUUCUCUUGAGACAAUGAUACAGUAGCUGUGACAUCACCGAUAGAUUCUUGUAUUACAAUAGUUGACCUUUGUAGACAGGAUGCCAUAAGAACCUUCAAAACACAUGUCAGUUGCUUUGGAAUAACAUUAAAUAAUGGGCAAUUAAUAUUCUGUGCUUUAAAUAAGGGAUUGCAAAAGUUAGACUUACAAAAUGACAAUAAAAUAACAAAUCUAGUGAAAUUUAAAUGUUCUGAUGACUCCUAUGUUGCAUCAUGGCAUGAUCAAUUGUACUUCACAGAUACCAAAAGGAAAGCUGUACUUUGUUUUAAUACAGCAGGAGAAUUUAAGUGGAAAUUUGAAAUAGAGGAAAUAAUUCCAGGAGGAAUAUCCAUCAAUUGUCAUGGCAAUGUUAUUGUUGCUUGUAGGAACACUGCAAGUGUUAUCUUGAUCUCUCCUAGUCAAGCAAGAUUUAAAUCAGUUCUGGACUGGGAUGACAUUCUAGAUUAUGAUAAACAAACAAAAUGUUUUCUCAUUUCUUGCAUAAGUGGAUCAGCCUUUUUGUUUAUUGUAGAAAAAGAAUAAAUGUUCAUAGCAGAGUC